rnacentral:rRNA from 1 species
CCAGACUCCUACGGGAGGCAGCAGUGGGGAAUAUUGCACAAUGGGGGAAACCCUGAUGCAGCGACGCCGCGUGAGUGAAGAAGUAUUUCGGUAUGUAAAGCUCUAUCAGCAGGGAAGAAAGAAAUGACGGUACCUGACUAAGAAGCCCCGGCUAACUACGUGCCAGCAGCCGCGGUAAUACGUAGGGGGCAAGCGUUAUCCGGAUUUACUGGGUGUAAAGGGAGCGUAGACGGCGAUGCAAGUCUGAAGUGAAAGGCGGGGGCCCAACCCCCGGACUGCUUUGGAAACUGCGAGGCUGGAGUGCUGGGGAGGUAAGCGGAAUUCCUGGUGUAGCGGUGAAAUGCGUAGAUAUCAGGAGGAACACCGGUGGCGAAGGCGGCUUACUGGACAGUGACUGACGUUGAGGCUCGAAAGCGUGGGGAGCGAACAGGAUUAGAUACCCCAGUA